GCUGGCGCUCCUGGGUCCAUGCAACCUGCUCUGGGUGGCAGCCGAGUUCUCGGGAACCGCGGCUCGGCCUGCAAGGCUGCUGUUUCAAGAAAUGAAAAUGAAGGGCGCCCUGGAAUAGGUUCGCUUAAGAGAGAGCUUGCAGGCCUCUGGGAAGCAAGCCAUCGUGUGGCAGAGGCCCAUGUGGCAAGGAACCAAGGGCGGCUUCUGGCCAACAGCCAGCAAGGACCUGAGGCCGUAGCCCAACACCCCUCCAGGAACUGAAUUUUGCCAACAACCAGUGAGUGACCUUGGAAGUGGAUUCUUCCCCCGAAAGCCCGGCUUUCAGGAAGGUGAAGGUUAUUGGUUGAACCAAUAAUCUCUGAAAUUUUUGGAGUUCCAUGAAGCUUGCACCAACUAUUAUCUCUGAGUGACCUUGGCUGUGGAACCCAGAUUCUGUUCAGGGUCGAGAGCGCCACCUGGUGAUUCCAGUUUACGGAGGCUGGUGGGACCUCAACCCCAGCCAGUAUCCAGGCUGUUGACGCCAUCUGGAGAAGGAAUUCAAGAGUGUGUCAGAAAAUGAUGAAAGUACAAAGAUUUAUUGCGAAGCGAAAAAUACACACUCAAGAAAGAGGAGUAUGUGUGGACUCAAGACAGAGUCCAAUGGGACUUGGGGUUUCUACCUUUUGGGUUUCUUUUUUUUUUUUGAUACGGAGUCUCGCACUGUUGCCCAGGCUGGAGUGCAGUGGCGCGAUUUUGGCUCACUGCAACCUCCGCCUCCCGGGUUAAAACGAUUCUCCUGCCUCAGCCUCCCAAGUAGCUGGGAUUACAGGCAGGCACCACCACACCUGGCUAAUUUUUGUAUUUUUAGCAGAGACGAGGUUUCACCAUGUUGGCCAGGGUGGUCUCGAACUACUGACUUCAGGUGAUCCACCCACCUCGGCCUCCCAAAGUGCUAGGAUUACAGGCGUGAGCCAUCGCGCCCGGCUCUUUUGGGUUUCUUUAACCAAGGAGUGGAAUAUUCAUGAAGAUUCUUGGGCAGAGGUGGAGGUUUCUCAGAAUUGUGGUGCUACACAUUUUUACACCAAAUAUGGGUGUUUCCGGAACUAUCAUGGCCCUGGUGUGUGUGGGAUUUAUAUAUUUAUUAUUAUUAUUUUUUGAGACAGAGUCUCACUCUGUCACCCAGGCUGGAGUGCAGUGGCACAAUCUCGGCUCAUUGCAACCUCUGCCUCCCAGGUGCAGGCGAUUCUCCUGCCUCAGCCUCCCAAGUAGCUGGGAUUACAGGCUCCCAUCACCAUGCCCAGCUAAUUUUUGUAUUUUUAGUAGAGACGGGGUUUCACCAUAUUGGCCAAGCUGUUCUCGAACUCCGGACCUCAGGUGAUCUGCCUGCCUGAGCCUCCCAAAGUGCUGGGAUUACAGGCAUGAGCCACCAUGCCCAAUGGGUGUGGGCUUUAGUAUAUUAAUGAGUGUAUAAUGAGGUCCUUGGUGAAACCUACAUCAAAUCCAGCACCAUGUUGGGUCCAGUUGGUCUUAGCCAGCUUGGUCCACAUCGUGGUUUUUUAGGGUCUUAUCGGCCCCUUACUUCUGCAGCAAAAGUUUCCUUUUGCUAGUCAUGUGAAACUGCCACCUGGAAUUUUCUAUUCUCUAGUGACCACCCCGUGUUAUUCCUGUCUCACUGGGACCCUAAGAAAUUGGGAAUUCCAACUACACAUCCAAAAUAGUUUGACUAAAACUGUUGAAAAAAGAAAAAAAUAAUGGCAUAAAGUAUUGCUUGACUAAAUUCCAGCCAGGUGCACUGGCCACUUUAGGUCGGGCGUGGUGGCUCAUGACUGUAAUCCCAGCAUUUUGGGAGGCUGAGGUGGGAGGAUCACUUGAGGUCAGGAGUUCCAGACCAGCCUGGCCAAAAUGGUGAAACUCUGUCUCUACUAAAAAUACAAAAAUUAGCCGGACCUGGUGGCGGAAGCCUGUAAUCCCAGCUACUCUGGAGGCUGAGGCACGAAAAUUGCUUGAACCCAGGAGGUGGAGGUUGCAUUGAACCAAGAUCAUGCCACUGCACUCUAGCCUGGGUGACAGAGCAAGAUUCCGUCUCAAAAAACAAAAACAAAAAUGAAAAACAAACAAAGAGAAAGCCCAUUCUUUUUUCUUUUUUAUUUUUUUGAGACAGGGUCUCGCUCUGUCACUCAGGCUGGAGUGCCAUGGCGCGAUCUCUGCUCACUACAACCUCCAUCUCCCAGGCUCAAGCACUCCUCCCACCUCAGCCUCCUGAGUAGCUGGGACCACAGGCACAGAAACCCCACCAUAAAUAAAGAGAGGUAGGCUUUUAAAAAUGUCACUCUGUUCAUAGUAAGGCAAGCAAGGGAAGCAAAAUUAAUUUCUUUCUAGAGGUGGAAUGAUGGGUAGGGAAUGGAGGACUUUAGGAAAGAGGUGCCCCAGUUUCUGAGUCACUUCAUGGCUUCAAUAUUCAUUGACUAUCAAUCAACAGAUGAAUGGAUAUACAAAAGGUGAUAUCUCUGUUGCAGUAGGUAGUUAGUCAGAUCUGAACAGCGAAGGAGAGGCUCCUCUGCCCCAUCAGGAGAUGAUCAGGCAGUUGUUAAACUGUCUCUCUAAAACAAUCAUUGGUUGCAGCCGAUGCCAGGGAAAGACAGUCUCCCAGUAGAUAGAAACGCCAGAAACUGGUGAUCAGCAGCUUCCCAGUAAGAUCUCAGGAGGUGGGUGAGUGGGCUUAAGCAUGUGCAUGAAGAGGCAAAAUGGUGGAGCUUAGCUGGUACAUGACCUUCCUCUAGGAACACUCAACUGACAAGGGAAGAACGCCUCAAGUGAGCAUGCAUAUAGCUUCAGUAAACACACUCACAUGCAGCCCCUCCCAAGUGCUGGCAGGCCAUUGUACAUGCAGACUGCCAACAUAGAAAACCACAAAUCAAAGGUCAAACCAUGCACUUGAAUCUCUCAAGUUCCCUACUUCCAAGCGUACUUCAUUUCCUUGCAUUCCUGUUCUAAAACUUUUUUUUUUUUUUUUUUUGAGACGGAGUUUCACUUUUGUUGCCCAGGCUGGAGUGCAAUGCCGCGAUCUCGGCUCACAGCAACCUCCACCUCCCAGGUUCAAGCCAUUCUCCUGCCUCAGCCUCCUGAGUAGCUGGGAUUACAGGCAUGCGCCAUCACGCCCAGCUAAUUUUAUAUUUUUAGUAGAGACAGGGUUUCUCCAUGUUGGUCAGGCUGGUCUCGAACUCCAGACCUCAGGAGAUCCGCCCACCUCCUAAAGUGCUGGGAUUACAGGUGUGAGCCACCAUACCCAGCUAAAACUUUUUAAUAAACUUUCACUCCUGCUGUGAAACUUGCCUUGGUUUCUUACUCUGUCUUAUGCCCCUUGGUUGAAUUAUCUCUUCUGAGGAGGCAAGGAUUCAGGUUGCUGCAGGCCUGUAUGGAUUCAUUGCUACUAACAUCUCCAUACAAUGGAAUAUAAUUUGGCCAUAAAAUGAAAUGAAGUAUUGAUACAAGCUACAAUGUAAAUGAACCUUGAGAACAUUGCGUUAAGUGAAAGAAGCUAGUCACAACAUAUAUUGCUUGCUUCUGUUAACAUGAAAUGUCUGGAAUAGGCAAAACCAUAGAGACACAAAGUAGAUUCAUGAUUGUUGGGGGUUGGAGGGGGUGGGGAAAUUGUGAGUGUGUCUUAGCCUGUUUUCUGUUGCAUAUAUACCACAGACUGGGUAGGGUAAUUUAUAAAGAAAAAAAGUAUAUUUAGUACAUGGUUCUGGAGACUGAGAAGUCCAAGAGCAUGGAACAAGCAUCUGGUGAGGACCUUCUUGCUGUAUCAUAACAUAACAGAGGGCAUCACAUGGCAAGAGGACAACAGCAAGAGAGCCAGAGAGUGCUUGCUUUUAUAACAAAACCACUCCCACGAUGGCAACACUAAUCCAUUCUUGAGGGUAGAGGGACUGAGUUUCCAACACAUGAACUUUUGGAGGACACAUUCAAACCAUAGCAAGGUGAUAGCUAAAGGGUAUGGGGUGUCUUUUUGGAGUGAUGAAAAUCUAAAAUUGAUGGUAGUAAUGGUUGUACAACCUUGUGACUAUGCUAAAAGCCAUUGAAUUGUACACUUUAACUGAGAGAAUUCUAUGGUAUGAAUUAUAUCUCAAUAAAGCUGUUAUCAGCAGGGGGUGGUGGCUCA